rnacentral:rRNA from 1 species
UGGGGAAUAUUGCACAAUGGGCGCAAGCCUGAUGCAGCCAUGCCGCGUGUGUGAAGAAGGCCUUCGGGUUGUAAAGCACUUUCAGCGGGGAGGAAGGCGAUAAGGUUAAUAACCUCAUCGAUUGACGUUACCCGCAGAAGAAGCACCGGCUAACUCCGUGCCAGCAGCCGCGGUAAUACGGAGGGUGCAAGCGUUAAUCGGAAUUACUGGGCGUAAAGCGCACGCAGGCGGUCUGUCAAGUCGGAUGUGAAAUCCCCGGGCUCAACCUGGGAACUGCAUUCGAAACUGGCAGGCUAGAGUCUUGUAGAGGGGGGUAGAAUUCCAGGUGUAGCGGUGAAAUGCGUAGAGAUCUGGAGGAAUACCGGUGGCGAAGGCGGCCCCCUGGACAAAGACUGACGCUCAGGUGCGAAAGCGUGGGGGGCAAACAGG